rnacentral:lncRNA from 1 species
CUUGCCUUCACCACUUCUAAUGGACCCCUCACCACUUCUAAUGAACAACCCCAUUACUUCUAGCUUCUCUACCAAGAAUAAUUGAACAAUGAACCUAACUUCUAAUGACUCUUCACCACUCUAACCAAGGUUUCUCCAACCUUGUCUCUUCUUCUUGGUGAUACUACACCCUAAAGAGAAAUAAUCAAUACAAUCGUCUAAAUGUGUACAAAAUAACG